rnacentral:rRNA from 1 species
AUUGAACGCUGGCGGCAGGCCUAACACAUGCAAGUCGAACGAGUGGCGGACGGGUGAGUAAUGUCUGGGAAACUGCCCGAUGGAGGGGGAUAACUACUGGAAACGGUAGCUAAUACCGCAUACCAUCGGAUGUGCCCAGAUUGGAUUAGCUAGUAGGUGGGGUAACGUCUCACCUAGGCGACGAUCCCUAGCUGGUAUGAGAUGAUGACCAGCCACACGAGAACUGAGCCGCGGUCCAGUCUCCUUCGUGAGGCAGCAUUGGGGAAUAUUGGACAAGGGGCUCAAGCCUGAUGCAGCCAUGCCGCGUGUAGUGAGAAUGCCUUCGGGUUGUAAAGUACUUUCAGCGAGUAGGCGUUACUCGCAGAAGAAGCACCGGCUAACUCCGUGCCAGCAGCCGCGGUAAUUC